UACGUAGGGAGCAAGCGUUGUUCGGAUUUACUGGGCGUAAAGGGCGCGUAGGCGGCUCUGUAAGUCAGUUGUGAAAUCUCUGAGCUCAACUCAGAACGGCCAAGUGAUACUGCAGUGCUAGAGUGUAGAAGGGGCGAUCGGAAUUCUUGGUGUAGCGGUGAAAUGCGUAGAUAUCAGGAGGAACACCUGAGGUGAAGGCGGGUUGCUGGUCUAGCACUGACGCUGAGGCGCGAAAGCCAGGGGAGCAAACGGG
rnacentral:rRNA from 1 species